rnacentral:rRNA from 1 species
CGUUCCCGGGCCUGUACACACCGCCCGUCACACCACGAAAGUCGGCAAUACCCGAAGCCGGUGGGCCAACCCGUAAGGGAGGCAGCCGUCGGAAGGUAGGGUUGAUGAUUGGGGUG